GCAGAACAUAAAUUGCAGCACACUAUGUACAAUGGUUCAGACAUGGAAGCAACCUGAAUGUCCAUCAAAAGAGGAAUGUAUAAAGAAUAUGUCCAUUAUAUAUAUAGUGGAAUAUUACUCAGCCAUGAAAAAGAGUGAAAUAAUACCAUUUGCAACAACAUGGAUGGACCUAGAGAUUAUCAUGCUAUGUGAAGUAAAACAGAGAAGAUGAAUUCAUAUCGCUUACAUGUGGAAUCUAAUUUAAAAUGAUACAAAGAACUUUUUUUAAAAAACAGAAACAAGCUUACAGAUUUCAAAAACAAUCUUAGGGAUACCAUAGGGGAAAUUGUAGGAGGGAGGAUUGGAAUAAUAUAUACACACUAUAUAAAAUAGGUAAUUAACAAGAACCUACUGUAAGACACAGGGAAAUCUACUCAAUAGUUUGUAAUAAAAUAUAUUUGUUGUACAGCUGAAAAUAAUACAACAUUGUAAAUCAACUAUACUCCAAUAAAACUUUUUUAAAAAUGCCUUCAUGAUGGGGAAGAUGUGACCUUUCCUCAAAAUACCUGUUACAGCAUAUAUACCAAGAUUUGCAAAUAGCCUUACUUAGGUUUGCCUCAAGUGUUUUACCUGGAAAGGUAGGCAAAAACACUAGAUGCUAAUGAAAAAUUUGUUGUUUCCAAAUAAUGAAUCCAUUUGCACAGUCACCCUCUGCCAUGAAAUUUUUAUUAUUUGUUUCUUUAUACAUAAGCUUGGAGAUUGGAAAGAAGUGUUCAGGGACUAGCUAUCCUUUACCUAUUUACUGUAGGUAAUUAAAUAAGAUUGCUGAUUGGCUGACUUCCAGUAGCAUGCUUACUGGAUUGAAGCUGACUUUCAGAGGGGGCUAUCAUUGAUUGGCUGAUUACUGGUAUAAUGUUAUUUUUGAUAGAUUAGUACAGGUUUUUAAUAAGUUCUAUUUGUUAUUGUUGUUAGGGCCAAUAAAUGGUUAGCCCUUUCUAGAAAAAUAAGAACAUUUUUGUUUUCAGUAGUUUGUUACCUCAUUUCACUCAUCAGGUCAUGGCAAUAUAUCUCCAACUAUAUCAAACACCUUAGGUCUAAGAUAGGCAAGUAGGAAUGUUGUGUGAAAAUACAUGUUUUCUGGCAAAUAAAGUUUGUACAGCUGGAGUAGGCAAAAGUGUUUUGUUAUUGCAGAAGUUUCCAGUGUUAAAAAUCCAGAGAAUGAAUCUAUAACUGUAAAAUAUAGCAUAUGGCUUUUUAUAAUGUUAUUUGACAUUUUAUUCUUAAGAAAAAUUUCCUAGGAGUGGAGUUCCUCAAAGCACAUUUUGAUAAAUACUAUUGUGAUGACCGUAUAGGUUAGGAAUUGACAAAUUUGAGCCAAUGUCCAAAUCAGUCUUGCUGCUUAUUUUUGUACAGUCUGUCAGUUAAGAACUAUUUUUACAUUUUUUUAAUGGUUGGAAAAAAUCAAAAGGAUAAUGCUUUGUGAUACCUGAAAACUAUAUGAAAUUUAAAUUUCCCUAAUUUAAAACCUUAAAGUUUUAUUGGAACACAGCCUCUCACGUAUUUGCUCAUACACUGUCAGUGUCUGCUUUUAUACGUGUUGGUAGAGUUGAGUCAUUGCAACAGAGAGCAUAUGCAGCCCUCUCAUCACUUCACACUGCUGUGUGAUGCCGCUGUAAAUUGUAAUGAUGCAGUUACAACUUAACAAUGUUUCAAGUGGCAUCUGUAUGGACAAAGUGCAACAUUUAUUUUAUUUUUAUUACCAGUGCAUCCUUAUUAUGUCAAUACAAAUAAAUCAGGUAAAAUUUGACUCUAAAUGUCACAUUUGUAAGACACAGUGGAGUGUGGAAUAUUUUGUUGUCAAAUUAGACUGCAUUCCAUUGUAUUUAUUAUGUAAUGAUAUCAGAGUUGUGCUAUAAUAGAAUUUUUAUUUAUGACAAAGAUGCUACUCCACUCCAGAUCAGAAGAGAAUGAAAGCUUCAUUGGGAUGAAAAAAAUAUGAAUUUUACCUUACCUCACACUGUACUUGAAAACAGUUAAAGGUGGAUUAUAAUCUAAAUGUGAAAGACCAAUGAUAAAACUUUAAGAAAUAACAUAGACGAAUGAUUUCAUGAAUUUGGAAUAUGGAAAGUUUUCUUAAACAGAAUACAAAAAACACUAAUCAUAGUGGAAGAUUCAUAAAGUUGUCUACAUUCUACUUAAGGUCUUCUAUUUAUCAAAGGUAACACAAAGAUAAUGAUAAGGCAAACCACAAAUCUUUAGAAUUUAAAACCAAUCGUAUGACAACCAAGCCCUCAAUUAAGUCACCCUAGUAGGUAUCAAGUUCUUUUGAGAACAUUAGCAAUCACAGAGCUACAAGUUUGCAGAAAAGGGAAUUGGCAAUCUUACAUUUCACUGACAAAAUUGUAUACUGACUCAUUCUGAAAUAUAAAAAUUAAUUUAUAAAACAAGCAGUAAAUAACAGUGAUAUUAAUACUAUUAAGUAGUACUUUAAAAUGUACAAGUACAUGGUAUUGGAACUAAUAUGUUCAAACACUACAAUACAACAAUGCAAAUAAAUUGUUUUUCAUUCAUAUUACACCAACUACAACAUUUGUAGGGUGCUAAUUCUGUUAGAUACAGAAUUAAGCCUGGCUAAAUUGCAAACAUAUUACAAUGCAGUUAUCCAAGUAGUUGUCAUUUAGAGCCCUGAGUUUACUGAAAUCGUCAUUAGGAUAGUAAAUAAACCUCAACAAAAGCAGUACAUUAUUUUAUGUUAGUAGAUGCAUUAGCUUUAUUGUAGCUAGUGGGCAAACACAAUCUGAUGAAACUCCUGGAGGAUGACACAUUCCACAGCGAAACUUUUUUGCAUCCUUUGCUUCAUCUGGUAAAUAUAAGAACCAUUAGGAGUUUAAGUGUGAUCAGUUUAGAUCAACUAAAAACUAUGAAUCCCAAAAUUUUUAAACUCGUUAUUUUGAACUCAGGAAUGGAUUCCACAGGCUUAAUAAGGCUCAAUCAAAUGACUAUAAUUUUCACACAUAACUACUAAAAAGAUUCAUCUCGGGAGAAGAUUUUUAGUAUAACCAAAUUCUUCAUCCUAAAAAAAAAAACAAAACAAAAAAA
rnacentral:lncRNA from 1 species